GACGAACGCUGGCGGCGUGCUUAACACAUGCAAGUCGAACGGAAAGGCCCUGCUUUUGUGGGGUGCUCGAGUGGCGAACGGGUGAGUAACACGUGAGUAACCUGCCCUUGACUUUGGGAUAACUUCAGGGAACUGGGGCUAAUACCGGAUAGGAGCUCCUGCUGCAUGGUGGGGGUUGGAAAGUUUCGGCGGUUGGGGAUGGACUCGCGGCUUAUCAGCUUGUUGGUGGGGUAGUGGCUUACCAAGGCUUUGACGGGUAGCCGGCCUGAGAGGGUGACCGGCCACAUUGGGACUGAGAUACGGCCCAGACUCCUACGGGAGGCAGCAGUGGGGAAUAUUGCACAAUGGGCGGAAGCCUGAUGCAGCAACGCCGCGUGCGGGAUGACGGCCUUCGGGUUGUAAACCGCUUUCGACUGUGACGAAGCGUGAGUGACGGUAAUGGGUAAAGAAGCACCGGCUAACUACGUG
rnacentral:rRNA from 1 species